rnacentral:rRNA from 1 species
AUUGAACGCUGGCGGCAUGCCUUACACAUGCAAGUCGAACGGCAGCGGGCCUUCGGGUGCCGGCGAGUGGCGAACGGGUGAGUAAUGCAUCGGAACGUGCCAUUGAGUGGGGGAUAACGUAGCGAAAGUUGCGCUAAUACCGCAUAUUCCGUGAGCAGGAAAGCAGGGGACCGCAAGGCCUUGCGCUCUUUGAGCGGCCGAUGUCAGAUUAGCUAGUUGGUGAGGUAAAGGCUUACCAAGGCGACGAUCUGUAGCGGGUCUGAGAGGAUGAUCCGCCACACUGGAACUGAGACACGGUCCAGACUCCUACGGGAGGCAGCAGUGGGAAAUUUUGGACAAUGGGGGCAACCCUGAUCCAGCCAUGCCGCGUGAGUGAAGAAGGCCUGG